GAUGAACGCUCGCGGCAGGCCUAACACAUGCAAGUCGAGGGAUAAGCCUUCGGGCUAAGACCGGCGCACGGGUGCGUAACGCGUAUACAAUCUGCCUUUUAUCCGGGGGAUAGCCCGAAGAAAUUUGGAUUAAUACCCUAUGGUAUAAGAGCACGGCAUCGUGCACUUAUUAAAGCUACGGCGGUAAAAGAUGAGUAUGCGUUCUAUUAGCUAGUUGGAGAGGUAACGGCUCCCCAAGGCGACGAUAGAUAGGGGUUCUGAGAGGGAUGUCCCCCACACUGGUACUGAGAUACGGACCAGACUCCUACGGGAGGGAGCAGUGAGGAAUAUUGGACAAUGGUCGGAAGACUGAUCCAGCCAUGCCGCGUGCAGGAUGACGGCCUUAUGGGUUGUAAACUGCUUUUGUAAGGGAAGAAUAAGGAGUACGUGUACUUUGAUGACGGUACCUUACGAAUAAGCAUCGGCUAACUCCGUG
rnacentral:rRNA from 1 species